GCUCGGGCUCCGCCGCUCGUUGCUGCUCUGCCGUGGUCCUUGCUGCUUGUUUCCGAACUGCUGGAGGAUAGGAAUCAUGAAAUUCAAUCAAUUGCCUAGUGUGCUUGGACGCCCCUCUAAGUCCACCACAGAAAUAGAGGGCAGCCACUCAAAGGGGACUGAGCUUGCCCCCAGAAGACCCAGAAACCCGGGUGCCUCCUGCCACAGGGACUGCGUCCCUACCCAAUUAAGCAAGCACACGUGCUGCCGCCCGCUGGAGCCCUGCAAGUGUCACCAGUGUGCCCUCAUCUCGGAUUACCAAAGAACUUUGCCUGCUGAGAGGGUCUUCACGAAGGAGAAGGAGCG